CACACACACACACACACACACACACACACCAGACUCACACCACACACUCACACUCUAUUACACACACACACACACACUCACGCACCAGACUCACACCACACACACACUCACACUCUCAGACCACAUACACACACACACCAGACUCACACCACACACUCACACUCUAUUACACACACACACACACACACACACACUCACACACCAGACUCACACCACACACACACUCACUCUCAGACCACACACACACGCACACCAGACUCACACCACACACUCACACUCUAUUACACACACACACACACACACACACACACACAUUCACACCACACAGUUAAUUUUCCCUCUUAAGAAAUGAAAAGCCUGGGUUCAUCUCAAGCUCCAGGGCUGCCUCUUUUCUUCCUGUAUCAAUCAGCCCGUCCUGGAGAAGAAAUGAGUCCCCAUAUUUCUACCUCACAUG
rnacentral:lncRNA from 1 species